CUGUCACCCAUGUCCAUGUCUAAUCCCACUUGUGAACACACAACAGAGGCCUGCUUUGGUAAAGAAAACGACCAACACAUGGAGUGGAGGCCAGACGUCUCGCUGGAUUCUGGAGACCUAUCAGCUCAGGGGUGACCCCCAAAACGGACGGUGGAAUCUGCCUGCCUUCAUGGAAGUAACGUUAUCACAAGCUUUUUCUAGCUAUCUGUUCAAAAAAUAAACUGCCAAAUAAAU